GGACGAGUGGCGGAAUGGUAGACGCACCAGUCUUAGGAACUGGCGCCUUCGGUGUAAGAGUUCGAGUCUCUUCUCGUCCA
rnacentral:tRNA from 1 species